UUUUCCAAGGCAAAACUCGUGUUUCAUAUUCGUGUAUUUUUGGUAACCAAGUCAGGGAAAUACUCGUGUUAAAAACGUGUUAAAAUGGUGUUUAGUUAUUCUUUCCAAAUGUUGCCUCCACCGCUAAACUUAAUAAAGCACAGUACAGACACGGCAAGAUUUUUGUGGAUUUAUGAUAACAAUUUAUUUUAAGUUUAAUUAAUUACAUAUUUCUGAAAAUGAAAAAAUCCCGAGAUAGACAGAUGCAAAGGCAAGUUCGCAGCGCUGUAGCUGACUUUAAUUUAGUUAUAAAUACUGUGUCACCAAAUUUAACGGAAAACUUGGAAAUUUCAACAGUCGACGAAACUUUAUAUUCGUCCCAAGCUGAAGUCGACAGGUUUGAGGUUGAAAGUGAUAGUGCUUCGAGUGUGAAAUCAGUGUCAAGUGUUAAUAGUACGAGCACCGAAAUUGAUUGUGAAUCAGUCACCGAUUUAAGUGAUAAGCUAAGAAGUUGGACAAUAAGUCAUAACAUAACCGCUUCCGCAACGAGUGACCUGUUAAAACUUCUUCAUGGCCAUCAUUGUUUUAAGUACCUGCCCCUUGAUAGUAGGACUUUAUUGCAUACCCCGAGGGCGACAGCAGUUAUUAAUGUACCACCCGGACAAUACUGCGCGUUUGACUGGGUAGCAUCAAUCCGCAAAAUAAUUAUGCAACGCGAUUUAAGAAAUACAAGAAUAUUUUAAACCUAACGCGUAUAAUACCUAUCUGAAACAACACCACGUUUAAUAGUGGAAGGUCACGUUAAUUUUUUCUUUGAAUAUUUUAGAUACGGUUCGUCAAAGUUUACCAUCAAAGGCAGUGACAGAUGACGAGAUGGAAGCCGUAAUUAAGGAAUAUUUGAAAGCAGCAGCAAAACGGUUGAAGAAAAAUCAUUGUGCUGAUAUCGCUGGGACAAUUUCCGAUGGUGGAUCAGACUUUAUUAAUCAUGAGGAGUCGGAUGACAUAUAAUUUUUAACCAUUAAUCAUUGUUCUCUGUUUGUUAUGAUUAAUUUAAAUAAUUAAAAUGAAAUAAAGGCAUGUCAUGAAC